UGGGGAAUAUUGCACAAUGGGCGCAAGCCUGAUGCAGCCAUGCCGCGUUUAUGAAGAAGGCCUUCGGGUUGUAAAGUACUUUCAGUCGGGAGGAAGGUGGUAAGGUUAAUAACCUUAUCAAUUGACGUUACCGACAGAAGAAGCACCGGCUAACUCCGUGCCAGCAGCCGCGGUAAUACGGAGGGUGCAAGCGUUAAUCGGAAUUACUGGGCGUAAAGCGCACGCAGGCGGUUGAUUGAGUCAGAUGUGAAAUCCCCGGGCUUAACCCGGGAAUUGCAUCUGAGACUGGUCAGCUAGAGUCUUGUAGAGGGGGGUAGAAUUCCAUGUGUAGCGGUGAAAUGCGUAGAGAUGUGGAGGAAUACCGGUGGCGAAGGCGGCCCCCUGGACAAAGACUGACGCUCAGGUGCGAAAGCGUGGGGAGCAAACAGG
rnacentral:rRNA from 1 species